AUAGAAUUUUAUUUAAGGCGAAAACAAUUAGUUGGGAACUCAAGCAUAUUUUUGCAGCCAUAUUUAGUAGAAUUUUCGGUGUCGAAAAAGCGAAACGCUUUGACAAAAAUGGUGAAUUUUCGUGUUUUUCUAAUCAAAUCGAUAUUUGCUGUGCUCAUGAUUCUACAAUUGGCCUCUGAUGCGGAUAUCGUGACCGUUUUCAAGCGAACUUUUGGCAAAGCGUCUUUAAAUGAUGACAACUGUGGCUGUGGAAAAUAACGACGCAAUACUUUUGGUCGGAAAAAGUGCUAGUAAUAAGUGAAAUAAUCAAAUUGCGGAUUUAGAAUUGUUUAAAAUAUAUAAAUUCAAUACUCAAAAAGCUUAAGUGAGCUUAAACUACGGAAAUUUUAAUUACUUGUUUUAAUUAUUACAUACAAUUUUCAAAAUAAAUUACAAAGAAAAAAAUUAUCCAGAAGUGAUCGUGCCACAUAUGUUCAUCUCUCUCUCUCUCUCUUUCGUCAUAUCUUACAUAAUCAGACAGCAACUGAAUAAAGAAUAUUUCAACAUUUUCUUUAACUAAAAGCAUUUCAACACAUUGCAAUCAUUGCAUGUAACUAUGCCAAAAAAUUGAACUCUUCAUCUAGUUAGAGCUAAACAAAUACACAGAAUAUACUUUGAUGACUUUUCGUUUACGAACGAAGUCUACAUGUCGUGGAAGGCAGCAAAUGUCAAUGAAUAUGAAAUCGUGGACAGUUGUAGCCGAUGUCGUUGAUUUGUAUGUCUGCGGUGCCACAAAUCACUUUGUGUCACAUCAUAUAGUGUGGGAAAGGUGAGAGCUUCAUUUAACAAAAAAAAAAUUAAGUUCGGCGAAGUUGAAAAAAAGUUAUA
rnacentral:misc_RNA from 1 species